AUAUAGUUUAUUUGGCUCAGUCUCCAAGUGUGAAAAUAGCUGCUGUGAGAGACAUGUCGCGAACUGUAACAGAACUCAAAUCAAAACUAGAUGGUUAUAACUUGUUGGCUUGCGGUGGAUACUGUCGACAGUCCAGUGAUUGCCGUACUAGGGACUGUCCCCGUUGUCUCUACGAUGUUAUUGCAAAAACCUAUGGCUGCCACGCGUAAAGGAUCAUCGAUGGCCAACACAAUAUGAAUUAUGUUGCUUCUCGUUCUAAAUAUGAGAUUAUGUUUGUGUGGUUUAUUGUCUUUGCUUUUGUGUUUUCCUUUUCUCAUUUACUAUAUAAAAUAACUAAGUUCUACUUCUACCUAUGGAGGCAGGACAAUGUCGGAUGUAACAUAUAUCAAGAUGGGUUGUAUUGGUCUUUGGAGUAUUUGUACUUCUAAUGUUGAAUGAAACUCUAUGAUCAUUUUGCUUAUGCAAGACUUGUUUGAUUGCUUUCUGCAUAUGUAUGUUCAGGUUG
rnacentral:lncRNA from 1 species